AUUGAACGCUGGCGGCAGGCCUAACACAUGCAAGUCGAAUGGUAACAGGAAACAGCUUGCUGUUUCGCUGACGAGUGGCGGACGGGUGAGUAAUGUCUGGGAAACUGCCUGAUGGAGGGGGAUAACUACUGGAAACGGUAGCUAAUACCGCAUAACGUCGCAAGACCAAAGAGGGGGACCUUCGGGCCUCUUGCCAUCAGAUGUGCCCAGAUGGGAUUAGCUAGUAGGUGGGGUAACGGCUCACCUAGGCGACGAUCCCUAGCUGGUCUGAGAGGAUGACCAGCCACACUGGAACUGAGACACGGUCCAGACUCCUACGGGAGGCAGCAGUGGGGAAUAUUGCACAAUGGGCGCAAGCCUGAUGCAGCCAUGCCGCGUGUAUGAAGAAGGCCUUCGGGUUGUAAAGUACUUUCAGCGGGGAGGAAGGGAGUAAAGUUAAUACCUUUGCUCAAUGACGUUACCCGCAGAAGAAGCACCGGCUAACUCCGUG
rnacentral:rRNA from 1 species